rnacentral:rRNA from 1 species
UACGGGGGGGGCAAGCGUUGUUCGGAAUUACUGGGCGUAAAGGGCGCGUAGGCGGUCUGCUAAGUUGGAUGUGAAAACUCUGGGCUUAACCCAGAGCCUGCAUCCAAAACUAGCGGGCUGGAGUUCUGGAGGGGAUAGCGGAAUUCCUGGUGUAGCGGUGAAAUGCGUAGAUAUCAGGAGGAACACCGGUGGCGAAGGCGGCUAUCUGGACAGAAACUGACGCUGAGGCGCGAAAGCUAGGGGAGCAAACAGG